rnacentral:rRNA from 1 species
UUUUNCCUCCGNUUUGGGAUUCGAUUUAGCCUGCUAGUCGCACGAGUUCAGACUCGUGGCGAAUAGCUCAGUAACACGUGGCCAAACUACCCUGUGGAGUGGAAUAACCUCGGGAAACUGAGGAUAAGACCUCAUAGGUGUCCGACGCUGGAAUGCCCGGGCACCGAAACGCUCCGGCGCCACAGGACGUGGCUGCGGCCGAUUAGGUAGACGGUGGGGUAACGGCCCACCGUGCCAAUAAUCGGUACGGGUCAUGAGAGUGAGAACCCGGAGACGGAAUCUGAGACAAGAUUCCGGGCCCUACGGGGCGCAGCAGGCGCGAAACCUUUACACUGCACGACAGUGCGAUAAGGGAAUCCCAAGUGCGUAGGCAUAGAGCCUACGCUUUUGUCCACCGUAGGGAGGUGGACGAAUAAGGGCUGGGCAAGACCGGUGCCAGCCGCCGCGGUAAUACCGGCAGCCCGAGUGAUGGCCGAUCUUAUUGGGCCUAAAGCGUCCGUAGCUGGCCGCACAAGUCCAUCGGAAAAUCCACCCGCCCAACGGGUGGGCCGUCCGGUGGAAACUGUGUGGCUUGGGACCGGAAGGCGCGACGGGUACGUUCCGGGGUAGGAAUGAAAUCCCGUAAU